UACAGGGAGGGCAAGCGUUGUUCGGAAUUACUGGGCGUAAAGGGCUCGUAGGCGGCCAACUAAGUCACACGUGAAAUCCCCAGGCUCAACCUGGGAACUGCGUGUGAUACUGGAUGGCUUGAAUUCGGGAGAGGGAUGCAGAAUUCCAGGUGUAGCGGUGAAAUGCGUAGAUAUCUGGAGGAAUACCGGUGGCGAAGGCGGCAUCCUGGACCGACAUUGACGCUGAUGAGCGAAAGCUAGGGGAGCAAACGGG
rnacentral:rRNA from 1 species